rnacentral:rRNA from 1 species
GACGAACCGUGCGAACGUUAUUCGGAAUCACUGGGCUUAAAGCGCGUGUAGGCGGCCCGGCGCGUCGGACGCUGAAAUCCCCCGGCUCAACCGGGGAAGUGGCUCCGAUACGGCCGGGCUGGAGGGGGGUAGGGGGCGCUGGAACUCACGGUGGAGCGGUGAAAUGCGUUGAGAUCGUGAGGAACGCCCGCGGCGAAAGCGAGCGCCUGGACCCUUUCUGACGCUGAGACGCGAAAGCCAGGGGAGCGAACGGG